GACGAACGCUGGCGGCGUGCUUAACACAUGCAAGUCGAACGGAAAGGCCCUUCGGGGUACUCGAGUGGCGAACGGGUGAGUAACACGUGGGUGAUCUGCCCUGCACUUUGGGAUAAGCCUGGGAAACUGGGUCUAAUACCGGAUAGGACCACGGCAUUCAUGUGCUGUGGUGGAAAGCUUUUGCGGUGUGGGAUGGGCCCGCGGCCUAUCAGCUUGUUGGUGGGGUAAUGGCCUACCAAGGCGACGACGGGUAGCCGGCCUGAGAGGGUGACCGGCCACACUGGGACUGAGAUACGGCCCAGACUCCUACGGGAGGCAGCAGUGGGGAAUAUUGCACAAUGGGCGCAAGCCUGAUGCAGCGACGCCGCGUGAGGGAUGACGGCCUUCGGGUUGUAAACCUCUCUCGCCAGGGACGAAGCGCAAGUGACGGUACCUGGAGAAGAAGGACCGGCCAACUACGUG
rnacentral:rRNA from 1 species